GACGAACCGUCCAAACGUUAUUCGGAAUCACUGGGCUUACAGAGUUCGUAGGCGGUCUGGAAAGUUGGGUGUGAAAUCCCUCGGCUCAACCGAGGAACUGCGCUCGAAACUACCAGACUCGAGGGAGAUAGAGGAAAGCGGAACUGAUGGUGGAGCGGUGAAAUGCGUUGAUAUUAUCAGGAACACCGGUGGCGAAGGCGGCUUUCUGGGUCUUACCUGACGCUGAGGAACGAAAGCUAGGGGAGCGAAC
rnacentral:rRNA from 1 species